UCCUGGUUAACCCAGGCAGUCUUGUUAGAGUUCCCGAACUUAAUCGUUGGCAACUAACAAUAAGGGUUGCGCUCGUUGCGGGACUUAACCCAACACCUCACGGCACGAGCUGACGACAGCCAUGCAGCACCUAUAUAGAGACCCUUUCGGGAGGCUCCCUUUCAGGAGUUGUCCUCUACAUUUCGAGCCUGGGUAAGGUUCUUCGCGUUGCAUCGAAUUAAACCACAUGCUCCACUGCUUGUGCGGGCCCCCGUCAAUUCUUUUGAGUUUCACCCUUGCGAGCGUACUUCCCAGGCGGCAUACUUAACGCGUUAGCUCCGGCACAAACAGGGUUGAAUCUGUUUACACCUAGUAUGCAUCGUUUACAGCGUGGACUAC
rnacentral:misc_RNA from 1 species